rnacentral:rRNA from 1 species
AACGAACGCUGGCGGCAUGCCUAACACAUGCAAGUCGAACGAUCCCUUCGGGGAUAGUGGCGCACGGGUGCGUAACGCGUGGGAACCUGCCCUUAGGUUCGGAAUAACUCAGAGAAAUUUGAGCUAAUACCGGAUAAUGUCUUCGGACCAAAGAUUUAUCGCCUUUGGAUGGGCCCGCGUUGGAUUAGCUAGUUGGUGGGGUAAAGGCCUACCAAGGCGACGAUCCAUAGCUGGUCUGAGAGGAUGAUCAGCCACACUGGGACUGAGACACGGCCCAGACUCCUACGGGAGGCAGCAGUGGGGAAUAUUGCACAAUGGGCGAAAGCCUGAUCCAGCAAUGCCGCGUGAGUGAUGAAGGCCUUAGGGUUGUAAAGCUCUUUUACCCGGGAUGAUAAUGACAGUACCGGGAGAAUAAGCCCCGGCUAACUCCGUG